CCACGGAUUUGUUCUCCGAAAUAGAAUGGCUGAUGCAGCAAGAGUUUUCAGCAAAAUGGUGGAGGGAGGUUAUUGUCAGCCCGAUGUGAUUACUUUCACCACAUUAAUACAGGGCUUUUGCAUGAUUGGAAACAGCACUGCGGCUAUUCAAUUACUUCGGAAGAUGGAAGAACAUGGAUGCAAGCCUGACGUAUAUACCUUUAGCACCAUCAUUGACAGCCAAAGAUACACUAGUUGACCAAGCAAAGAACCUCUUUUCAGAGAUGAUUGGUAGAGGUAUCGCUCCAGACGUUGUCACCUACAACUCUUUUAUUCAAGGAGUUUGCGAUAUAAGCCACUGGAAAGAAGCUACGAGGUUGUUGUAUGAAAAUGGCCAGUCAAGGUAUCUUUCCAGAUGUCUUCACCUUCAGUAUCCUGGUUGAUGCACUAUGCAAGGACGGGAUGGUUGGGCAUGCCAAAAGUGUGGUUAAGAUUAUGAUUCAAAAAGGAAUUGAACCUAACACUAUCACAUACAGUUCCCUAAUGGAUGGUCACUGUUUGCGAGGUGAAAUGGACAAGGCAAAACAAGUUUUUGAUCUAAUGGUUACCAAGGGCUCCAUGAUUAAUGUUCAUAGCUGUAGCAUAAUGAUUAACGGAUAUUGCGAGGGUAAAAGGAUCGAUAAGGCUUACAAGAUUUUCAAGGAAAUGCCUUGUAGGGGAAUUGUUCCUAAUACCAUUACCUAUAACACUCUUAUUGAUGGUUUUUGCAAAGCUGGGAGACUACAAGAAGCAGAAAAGUUGUUCUCUGAGAUGCAAGAUUGUGGCCAACUUCCAGAUAUUCGAACUUAUAAUAUUAUACUUGAUGGCCUCUGUAACAACCAACAACUUUCUGAGGCAAUUGAAUUGCUUAGAGAGAUGGAAGGGAACAAGUUGAAACCAGAUAUUGUAGCUUACAAUAUUAUCAUUGAAGCUCUGUUCAAAACUGGGAAAAUUUAAUCUGCAAUAGACGUCUUCUCUGGUUUGUCAUCGAAAGGAGUACUGCCUGAUGUAUGGACAUACAAUAUAAUGAUCAAGGGACUUUGUAAUGGUGGCAUCUUAGUUGAAGCAGAAAAGUUGUUUAGAGAAAUGGAGCAAAAAGGCUGUUCUGCUGAUGGCUGCACCUAUAACACAAUUAUCCGAGGUUUUAUCAAUAACAACGAGACAUCGAGGGCUACAAGUCUUAUUGAAGAAAUGAGUGAGAGGGGUUUCUCUGGAGAUGCAUCAACUAUGGAAUUGAUUGUUGAUUUGUUGUCGAAGGAUAAAGUCGACCCUGUAUUAUUAGCAUGGCUUAAAAAUUCAGUCUGAAGUCAAAUGAAUAUUUGAAAUAUAUAUUUUCAAUUUCACUAGGAAACUUGAAACUGUUGUAGCCCGGCUCCUUUAGCAAUCUUGGGUGUUUCGUGAAUCCUGUUUGUAAGACUACCAUUGAAACAUAAUGUCAGUUCUUGUGUUGCAUAUGCAUCAGUUAUCCAAUGUAGCUGGCUUCAGGACUGCCAGGUUACCAGCGCUCUCUAAUCUCUAUGUAGCUCUUUGUUUGUUGUAGUAUUUCAUUAUGUGCAGAAUGAGAUUGUAUAUUAUUGAAAGAAUGAGCGUGUAUGAUUAUUGUUAAUUAGCAGUAUGUGGAGUUGAUCUGAUCUGACACUAUUAUUUGACUUUUUGCGCUUUGCUUGAGAUAGUUGAAGUAUCUUUUUUUAUCUGUAAAAUAUGCUGUUACUAAUUGUAGCUCAAGUUGUAGAGACAUAUCCAGGAGGGCAAGGCAUUCACGGUUGCUGCCGUUUCGGUUCAUGAGGCGGGUGCUGAGAGAGCUUGUUGAGCUUUGUUGGAAUGGGGG